CGGGAAAAGUAGCUUGCUACUUUUGCCGGCGAGCGGCGGACGGYGUGAGUAAUGCCUGGGAAAUUGCCCAGUCGAGGGGGAUAACAGUUGGAAACGACUGCUAAUACCGCAUACGCCCUACGGGGGAAAGCAGGGGACCUUCGGGCCUUGCGCGAUUGGAUAUGCCCAGGUGGGAUUAGCUUGUUGGUGAGGUAAUGGCUCACCAAGGCGACCAUCCCUAACUGGUCUGAAAGGAUGAUCAGCCACACUGGAACUGARACACSGUCCAAACUCCUACGGGAGGCAGCAGUGGGGAAUAUUGCACAAUGGGGGAAACCCUGAUGCAGCCAUGCCGCGUGGGUGAAGAAGGCCUUCGGGUUGUAAAGCACUUUCCGCGAGGAGGAAAGGUCAGUAGCUAAUAUCUGCUGGCUGUGACGUUACUCGCAGAAGAAGCACCGGCUAACUCCGUGCCAGCAGCCGCGGUAAUACGGAGGGUGCAAGCGUUAAUCGGAAUUACUGGGCGUAAAGCGCACGCAGCGUUGGAUAAGUUAGAUGUGAAGCCCCGGCUCAACCUGGAUGCAUUUAAACUGUCAGCUAGAGUCUUGUAAGGGGUAGAUCAGUGUACGUGUAUGCUAAGAUCUGG
rnacentral:rRNA from 1 species